GCCAGUAGGCGCACUGGAGCUCCACCGUGCUUCCCUCCAGGCCACAGACGGUGCUGAGAGUGUAGCGCCCUCCCCAGCCAUCCGUCGCCAGCACUGAAAAGCAUGCAAAUGUACUCUUGGAUCAAGGAAGAAGGUGUCGACUCCUCCGCAAGCCGUGGAAAUGAUGAGCUCGUUGAGCUCGCCGCAACGUCUCAUCAGCAAACUUGAUGCGCUGGGCCUCAGUACCUACCUCUGCAACUGGCUACUGGACUUCUUCUGUCAGAGGCCACAGGUGGUACGUGUUGGCGACAAGAUCUCCGCCAGCAUCACGCUGAGCACAGGGCCCCCCCAAGGCUGCGUGCUCAGUCCGCUACUCUUCACCCUCCUGACGCAUGACUGCAUUGCCACCCACAGCGACAACCGCAUAGUGAAGUGUGCUGACGACACGACUGUGGUGGGUCUCAUCACCAAGGGAGACGAGACUCAGUACAGGCUGGAGGUUGACCUUCUGACCACAUGGCGCAGGGACAACAACCUCCUGCUGAACGUCGACAAGACCAAGGAGGUUGUUGUUGACUUCCGGAAGGGUCACACCCAACACCUGCCGCUGACCAUCGACGGUGCUGUGGUGGAGAGAGUGAGCAGCGCCAGGUUCCUGGGGGUGCACAUCAGUGAGGAUCUCUCCUGGUCCACCAACACCGCAUCACUGGCGAAGAAGGCCCAGCGCCGCCUGUACUUCCUGCGGAAACUCAGGCGAGCGGGCGAGCGCUCCUCCGGCCGUCAUGACUCCAUUUUACCGUGGCACCAUUGAGAGCGUCCUCUCUCUCCAGCUGUAUUGCUGUUUGGGGUGGCGGCUGCACUGACUACAACUUGAAGGCCCUGCAGCGCAUAGUGAACACGGCUGGUAAGAUUGCUGGUGCUUCGCUCCCCUCCUUGAAGGACAUUUCCACCUCCCAUCUCACCCGCAAGGCGACCACGAUUGUGAGUGAUGUGAGUCACCCCGCUCACUCUUUGUUCGAGCUUCUGCCCUCUGGGAAGAGGUACAGAAGCCUGCGCUCCCUCCCGCACCACCAGACUCUCAAACAGCUUCAUCCUCCAGGCUGUCAGGAUCCUGAACUCGCUUCCCCUUUCUGCGUAGCGUCCUGUAAUUUUGCGCUACGCUUACUGUCUGCUGUAUGCACACUGGCUCCGUUUUGCUCCUCUUAUUUAUUGUGUUAUCUCUUUAUUUAUGAUUUAUUCAUCAUUCUUAUCAUUUAUUGUUUGUGCCUUUUGUUUUUAUAUUGUGUCGUUUACUUGUAUGUCUAUCGUGUGUUGUGUAUCGUCACCGUGGGAUAGAGGAAACGUCAUUUCGGUUUCUUUGUGUGUCUUGACAUGUGAAGAGAUUGACAAUAAAGCUGACUUUGACUUUGACUUGACUCAGAGGGAUACUGUAACUAAUCUCGGGGUAAUAUUUGACCAAACUCUCUCCUUUCAAAAGCACACUAAGAAUAUAAGCAGAAUUGCGUUUUUUCACCUUCGUCAUAUUGCAAAGAUCCGUCCGAUCCUCUCGACCGGUGAUGCGGAAACUAUUAUACAUGCGUUGGUCACGUCGCGCCUGGACUACUGUAAUGUACUAUUCUCUGGUCUUCCUAAGUCCCGCAUGAAAAGUCUACAGUUCGUACAAAAUGCUGCUGCACGGACAAGAAAAUGUGAUCACAUUACCCCAAUAUUAGCCAACUUCCAUUGGCUCCCGCUCCCUUUAAGAUGUGACUUCAAGGUUCUUCUAUUAACUUAUAAAUCACUGCAUGGCUUAGCGCCUUCAUAUCUCGUCGACCUAGUUGUUUGGUUAUGUUCCGUCUCGUAACCUUCGUUCGCAAAACGCGACCCUUUUAGCGACACAGAGGGCCAAGAAAAUGUCUGCAGGCUCUAGAGCAUUUUCUAUUGGGGCUCCAGAGCUUUGGAAUGCCCUACCAAUGGAUAUUAGAACUGUUACCUCAGUAGAAACAUUCAAGACACGUUUAAAGACACAUUUGUAGGAUAUGGCCUUUAAUCAACCUGUAGUGGCCGAUUCGGCUGGAGUUUGUUUUCGCUCCCUUCGCUUUUCAUAUGAUGUAUUAUUUGUGCCCUCUCUGCAUCCAUUGGAGCCUGGUGAUCCGGAAAGGGGGAUCCUUCCAUCUGUCAAGGUUUCUCAUUUUCCCCUGGUAGGGUUUUUUGGACUUUUUCCUUGCCCUUUUGGGAGCUUAAGAUCAGGGGAUGCUUUGAGAAGAAUUGUCAAUUGUUUGCCUAUGUGAAGCCCUUUGAGACUGCUUGUGAUUUAGGGCCAUACAAAUCAACUUGACUUGACUUGACUUGCUGUAGAGCGCGCCUCACGCGUCGGCGUCCGCUCCAGCUUCCGGCCUGGGCCUGCGGGUGGAGACAACCAGAGAGACCAUCCAGUAUGACCAUCCCAUUUUUGGGGGGGAAAGAUUUCAGUAUUUUCCAGCCAAAUUGAAAGUCACCUGGAGGCCGGCAGUUGACGGCAAUGUCCUCCACUCCCUCGUCCCGAUCCUCGCUCCGGCGCCUCUCGGCCCGGGCGACGUUGGAGUAGAUGGCGUCGGGCUCGGAGAAAGCCAGCUCGUCCGGACCGCCCGUGGAGUACAGCAGCUCGUCCGGACCGCCCGUGGAGUACAGCAGCUCGUCUGGACCGCCUGUGGAGUACAGCGGCUCGUCCGGACCGCCCGUGCUGUGUUCUGCGCUUGCGUUUGGCUGAGCACAUUUUGGAUCAGGUUUACACUUUUUUCCUUAUUUUUCUAGUUUCGUAACAUUUUCACGUCUUCUUAACAUUUUUAGUCCUAUCCAAAUAAGAUAUACAUGAUGAUGUUUUUUUUCACCUGAGCUGCUGCUGCCAUCGUUUUCCUAAAAUAUCAAACAAACACAAAAUGAAAUGAACACCUUUGUCCACAAAAUCUUUUUCACUUUAUAUUCUGAUCAUUAUUUUGUCAUUUGUAUUCUUCCUAAAUUUAGAAACGUUCACGUUUUAAAAUGGGCUUUUUAAUACACUUUUUUAGAAUUCCCUAACCAUAUGUAAAUAAAGUACAAAAAAAUGGAACCCACCUGUGCAGCAGGGCGGCCCCAAGAAUCAGGACGAGGAGGAGCAAGCCAGCCAGCACGCGAACCACCGUCAUCACCUUCAGUAGACCUGAUCAAGCAGUUAUGAAAAGAAAAGCAAAGCUGACAAUGCAGAACAGAACCGACAGAACCGUAACUUACUGGCCUCGGUGGAGAGCCACAGCGUGGUGCUCUGGUUCCCCACUCUGUUCCAGGCUUGGCAGCGAUACUCGCCGUGGAGCUCCGCUCGGUAGUCGCUGAUGUUGAAGACGGCCAUGUCGGACUUGCGAGAGUUCUCGUGGUACCAAAUGUAGCUUGCGCUGGGGUUGGCAUCACUGCUGCAGGUCAGGCUGACCCAAGAGCCCACCCCGACAGAACCCGAGUAUGUGGCUGAGACCUUGGGCAGCCGAGGACCGUCUAGGGCGAAAACGCUUUGGAUGGUUUCAAACAACACAACUGGUUGGCAUAAAAGCUUAACGGAAGGUCAACACAAGGCACGCUCGCUAGGGUUGAAGUCUGGAGAUUGACUCCGCUAGUCUCCAGCGCCACUUUGUCCACUUACAUUCGACGUCUAGGAGAACCUUUGUAGAAUUGACGCAUCCGUAUUCAUUGCAGGCCUGGCAGUGGAAGUUUCCGGCAUCUUCAGGCCUGAUAGAACUGAAAUUGACAAAUCCGCCCGGUUCCCGGCCCACCCGUUCGUUGUCCUUGUAAAACGCGUAGCGAGCCUUUGGAUUAGUGCCAUUGCUGCACUUCAGACUCACAGACUGGCCCUCCGAAGGGACUGCUGAUGGAAUGGCCUCCAAAGCGACAUCCUCCGGAGGAUCUGAGGAGCACAAUUGGCCUCAACGACGAGUCCUAAACCAGCAGGUGAGGUACUGUACUUACAUUUCACAUUGACUUUGAUGCGUUCUGACUGCUUCUCCCCCAGCUCAUUUGCCACGGUACAAAAAUAAUCCGCAGAGUCUGAAGCCUUGAUGGAUGGGAUGACCAGGGCAGGUUUGUCACUCACUUUUUGAUGACCUGAGUUUCCGGUCUCCUUAAACCACCCGUAUGUACAUGAUGCUGAUGGGUUGACUGUGCAGGUCAGAGUCAGCCGCUGACCCUUCAAGAUACCAUCACCCGAGUGACUCGCCGACACCGAGGGGGCCGCCAGAGCAUCUGAACGAGGAGGGAAGAAGGUGGUGGUAGACAACGUCACUCAGUAGAGGGCAGACAAGUCAUGAGAGUAAUGCUGUUCAAUUGCUGUCCUGCGGGGGGCAGUAAUGACUCGAGCACAGUGACCACAAUGCCAAGUGAGCAAGGGAAAUAAGGAAGAUGAAGCGGUCGGUCAUGAAAACGGAUAGAUAUUGACAAUAAACCAAUCCAUUGCUCAGUGGGCCGGUCUAGUGAACAGAAUGAGUAAAAAACAAAAAUCCCUCACACAGACGAGAAGAGACGCCGAAUGGAUUUCUUUCCACUUGACAGGUGACGUAGUCUCCGGGAGAUAAAGUGAUUUGCCGAGGUUUGGCCGUCUGGGAAGGCUCGCAGUUGCCCACUUGGUGUGCAUUCACGAACCAGCAAAAAGACAAAGGAACUUCCAGGUUGCAUGUCGUGUGACACACCAGCUGAGCGAUGACGUCUGGGCUUCCACCUGUGAAGUUUGUCACCUGCACCUGCGCAGCUGGAGGCAAAAGCUCCUGGAUGAACAGCGUGCACUUCUUCCGUUGGCAGUCAACGCGCACUCGACCGGAGUAUUGGGGGUCCAAACGCAAAUCUUUGGGCUGCUUUCCCUUGGGCCAGUCGGUCUCGGUGUGCCACCAAGUCUCCGUUGUGUAAAUGCUUUGGCGUUUGUCGGUUGUCGGGUGCCAGUAGGCGCACUGGAGCUCCACCGUGCUUCCCUCCAGGCCACAGACGGUGCUGAGAGUGUAGCGCCCUCCCCAGCCAUCCGUCGCCAGCACUGAAAAGCAUGCAAAUGUACUCUUGGAUCAAGAUCUGAACCAGAUGACGCCUUUGCAAGCAAGCAAUUGGACAGAAAGAAGUUUUGGAGGAAGACAAUGAAAAGACAAACGACAUCCAGCGCACUUGUGCUUUCCCGCCAAUCUGCUGACUCGGAUGCUUUGGCGUCUCUUCUAUUUGCUCCCCCCCAUCAUGUUCACAGUCCCCCCCCCACACACACACACUUUGAAGGGGCGGGGCUUACAGUAGCGAGGACAGGGAGGAUGAAUAGAAUGACUUUGCCCCUGGGAGCUGCUGGGGCGGAGUCUUACUGCUGUUGUUUGGAAAAGCUUUUGAUGGAUGAUUGCUCUGUGCGUGUGGAGAGAGAGAGAGAGAGAGGGACAGAGAG